rnacentral:rRNA from 1 species
GAUGAACGCUGGCGGCGUGCCUAAUACAUGCAAGUCGAGCGAACAGACGAGGAGCUUGCUCCUCUGACGUUAGCGGCGGACGGGUGAGUAACACGUGGAUAACCUACCUAUAAUACUGGGAUAACUUCGGGAAACCGGAGCUAAUACCGGAUAAUAUAUUGAACCGCAUGGUUCAAUAGUGAAAGACGGUUUUGCUGUCACUUAUAGAUGGAUCCGCGCCGCAUUAGCUAGUUGGUAAGGUAACGGCUUACCAAGGCAACGAUGCGUAGCCGACCUGAGAGGGUGAUCGGCCACACUGGAACUGAGACACGGUCCAGACUCCUACGGGAGGCAGCAGUAGGGAAUCUUCCGCAAUGGGCGAAAGCCUGACGGAGCAACGCCGCGUGAGUGAUGAAGGUCUUCGGAUCGUAAAACUCUGUUAUUAGGGAAGAACAAAUGUGUAAGUAACUAUGCACGUCUUGACGGUACCUAAUCAGAAAGCCACGGCUAACUACGUG